CUUGUAGGCGGUUCGUCGCGUCCGGUGUGAAAGUCCAUCGCUUAACGGUGGAUCCGCGCCGGGUACGGGCGGGCUUGAGUGCGGUAGGGGAGACUGGAAUUCCCGGUGUAACGGUGGAAUGUGUAGAUAUCGGGAAGAACACCAAUGGCGAAGGCAGGUCUCUGGGCCGUUACUGACGCUGAGGAGCGAAAGCGUGGGGAGCGAACA
rnacentral:rRNA from 1 species